rnacentral:rRNA from 1 species
UACGUAGGGGGCCAGCGUUGUCCGGAAUCAUUGGGCGUAAAGCGCACGUAGGCGGCCCGGUAAGUCCGCUGUGAAAGUCGGGGGCUCAACCCUCGAAAGCCGGUGGAUACUGUCGGGCUCGAGUACGGAAGAGGCGAGUGGAAUUCCUGGUGUAGCGGUGAAAUGCGCAGAUAUCAGGAGGAACACCAAUUGCGAAGGCAGCUCGCUGGGACGUUACUGACGCUGAGACGCGAAAGCGUGGGGAGCAAACAGG